UAGAUGGUUCACAUCACAGGACUCUGUGC
rnacentral:piRNA from 1 species